GACGAACGCUGGCGGCGUGCUUAACACAUGCAAGUGGAGCGACGAACCGGGGCUUGCCCCGGGGCAGAGCCGCGAACGGGUGAGUAACACGUGGGUAACCUACCCCGAUGACCGGGACAACCCGAGGAAACUCGGGCUAAUACCGGAUGUGCUCUCCACGCUUAAGCGUGGUCAGCAAAGGAAGCUUCGGCCUCCGCAUUGGGAGGGGCCCGCGGCCCAUUAGCUUGUUGGUGAGGUAAAGGCUCACCAAGGCGACGAUGGGUAGCUGGUCUGAGAGGACGAUCAGCCACACUGGGACUGAGACACGGCCCAGACUCCUACGGGAGGCAGCAGUGGGGAAUCUUGCGCAAUGCGCGAAAGCGUGACGCAGCAACGCCGCGUGGGGGAAGAAGGCCUUCGGGUUGUAAACCCCUUUCAGGAGGGACGAAGGUGCGGCCGCGAAUAGCGGUCCGUACUGACGGUACCUCCACAAGAAGCCCCGGCUAACUACGUGCCAGCCGCCGCCGUAAGAC
rnacentral:rRNA from 1 species